rnacentral:rRNA from 1 species
UAGGGAAUAUUGCAAAAUGGGCGAAAGCCCGAUGCAGCAACGCCGCGUGGGCGAUGAAGGCCUUCGGGUCGUAAAGCCCUUUUUGAGGGGAUGAGGAAGGACAGUACCCUCAGAAUAAGCCUCGGCUAACUACGUGCCAGCAGCCGCGGUAAAACGUAGGAGGCGAGCGUUAUCCGGAUUUACUGGGCGUAAAGCGCGUGCAGGCGGAUUGGAGAGUUGGAGGUGAAAGCUCCCGGCUUAACUGGGAGAGGUCGUUCAAUACUUCCAGUCUUGAGUGCAGUAGAGNGAAGUGGAAUUCCGGGUGUAGUGGUGAAAUGCGUAGAUAUCCGGAGGAACACCAGUGGCGAAAGCGGCUUCCUGGACUGUAACUGACGCUCAGACGCGAAAGCUAGGGUAGCAAACG